rnacentral:misc_RNA from 1 species
UCCGGCUUGUCGCCGGCGGUCCCUUUAGAGUGCCCAACUGAAUGAUGGCAACUAAAGGCGAGGGUUGCGCUCGUUGCGGGACUUAACCCAACAUCUCACGACACGAGCUGACGACAGCCAUGCAGCACCUGUCUCCGCGCCCCUUGCGGGGACUGUCCAUCUCUGGACAUAGCACGGGAUGUCAAACCCUGGUAAGGUUCUGCGCGUUGCGUCGAAUUAAACCACAUGCUCCACCGCUUGUGCAGGUCCCCGUCAAUUCCUUUGAGUUUUAACCUUGCGGUCGUACUCCCCAGGCGGGAUGCUUAAUGCGUUAGCUUGGGACACUGAAGGGGUCAAUACUCCUAAUGUCUAGUGAACAUCGUUUAGGGCGUGGACUAC